rnacentral:lncRNA from 1 species
AACAAGAGUGUAUAUGAAAAAAAAUCAAUUAAAUUCUGAUAUUUGCUUCCUUGAGAAAUCAUCAUAUUAACUUUGGAUAAUCAACUUGCCAACGCAACUUUCAAAUGAAGUACAAAAGUAAGAUGAGAGCCUAACAGGACUUAUUAAUAGGCAAAAGAAUAGGAUAAGUUGAAAACUGCAUAUGAAGGAUAAAAGUUAAAAGGAUUAUCUCACACCAAAGAACCAUCUGAUUUCGACAAGGGACUAGAAAUUCAUAGUUAAGGUGCCUCACUUUCUGUCUUCUGCAUAUCUAGGGAAAGGAGCCUGAAGCUUAUUAACUUCGGAAAUUUCAACUUGUCAACAAAAACUGUAACUUUCAAAUGAAGUAUAAAAGUAAAAUGAGAGCCUAACAGGAAAUACUGUGAGGCAAAAGAGUAGGAAAAGUUGAAAACUGCAUAUGAAGGAUAAAAGUUAUAGGAUUGUCUCACACAAAAGAACCAUUUGGUUUCCAGAAGGGACUAGAAAUUCAUAGUUAAGGUGCCUCACUUUCUGUCUUCUGCACGUCUAGGAAAAGGAAUCCGAAGCUUGCAAGUAUUCCCUUGGCA